UACGGGGGGAGCAAGCGUUGUUCGGAUUUACUGGGCGUAAAGGGCGCGUAGGCGGUCGUGACAAGUCACUUAUGAAAUCUCCGGGCUUAACUCGGAACGGUCAAGUGAUACUGUCGGACUAGAGUACAGAAGGGGCAACUGGAAUUCUCGGUGUAGCGGUGAAAUGCGUAGAUAUCGAGAGGAACACCUGCGGCGAAGGCGGGUUGCUGGGCUGAUACUGACGCUGAGGCGCGAAAGCCAGGGGAGCGAACGGG
rnacentral:rRNA from 1 species